ACUCGGUACUGUCAAAAAAAAAAACUCAGACACUCGGUUCUUUUCCGAGGAGCAGAGUGCGGGUUGGGCAAAUGGAGGGUUCGACCGGCAACUCGCCGGCGCCGCCGCCCGCCUUCCGGAACAGGUACUGGAUCCUCCGCCACGGCCGCAGCGUCCCCAACGAGCGCGGCCUCAUCGUCUCCUCCCUGGAGAACGGCACGAAGCCGGAGUUCGGGCUGGCCCCGCAGGGCGUCGAGCAGGCGCGCUCCGCCGGCGAGUCGCUCCGUAAGGAGCUUGAGGAGAUGGGUGUGCCGGUGGACUCUGUCAAGAUCUGUUAUUCGCCGUUCUCCCGGACGACGGAGACGGCCAGGGUGGUCGCCGGCGUGCUGGGCGUCCCAUUCGAGGGUCCUAGCUGUAAGGCAACUGCAGAACUUCGUGAACGUUAUUUCGGACCAUCAUAUGAGUUGCUUUCACACGAGAAGUAUGCAGAGGUAUGGGCGAUAGAUGAAGCAGAUCCCUUUCUGGCCCCAGAAGGUGGGGAGAGCGUUGCAGAUGUUGCUAGUAGACUUGCAGGGGUGCUGUCUUCUGCAGACAUGGAGUUUCAUGGCUCUGCUGUUCUUAUUGUCAGCCACGGGGAUCCACUACAGAUCUUUCAAGCGGUACUCAGUGGAGCCAAGGAACACCCAUCUUUCCUCGACGAUGUAGCUGGCCUGAGAAAGGAAAGCCUAGUAGUUCCAUCCGUGUUGUCACAACACCGUAAGUUCGCACUCAACACAGCAGAGCUGCGGCGAGUUGUGUGAUCCGACGCAGAUUUGAUCUUGUACUGCUAUGUCAGUAGAUAAUUCAUGUAUCUGUAGAUCCUUGUGGAGAGUCUAUUGCCCCACGCAUGAUAAGAUGUGGAAAACUGUUGCUCGAUGCUACUCCCUCGGCCCCUCUGUUGAGAAACAUUAGCGCAUUAUUUUUGAUUGAUCAGAUUCAAGAUCUGCUUGGAAAUGUGCAACGUUUUGUAACAGUGAAAAAAGAACACAUCCACAAGGGAUCACUUAUGAAUAUUAGUGUCAAUUUUGUGCCA